rnacentral:rRNA from 1 species
UACAGAGACUGCAAGCGUUAUUCGGAUUCACUGGGCGUAAAGGGUGCGCAGGCGGUUGGGUGUGUCAGAUGUGAAAUCCCGAGGCUUAACCUCGGAACUGCGUCUGAAACUACUCGACUAGAGUAUUGGAGAGGGUAACGGAAUUCACGGUGUAGCAGUGAAAUGCGUAGAUAUCGUGAGGAACACCAGAGGCGAAGGCGGUUACCUGGACAAUUACUGACGCUCAGGCACGAAAGCAUGGGGAGCAAGAGGG